GUUAGAUUAGUUUAAUACAAAACGUUAGCUUGUGGCGCUAAAAAUAAAAAUAAAUUUUAUUUAACU
rnacentral:tRNA from 1 species